GACGAACCGUGCGAACUUUGUUCGGAAUCACUGGGCUUAAAAGGGCGCGUAGGCGGGCUGCUAAGUCAGGGGUGAAAGCCCACGGCUCAACCGUGGAAGUGCCUUUGAUACUGGCGGGUCUGGAGGGAGGUAGGGGCGUGCGGGAACUUCCGGUGGAGCGGUGAAAUGCGUGAGAUAUCGGAAGGAACGACCGGUGGCGAAGGCGGCUCACUGGCCCCUUACCGACGCUCAGGCGCGACAGGCGUGGGGAGCAAACAGGA
rnacentral:rRNA from 1 species